rnacentral:misc_RNA from 1 species
CUCCUCUGCUCGUCAAGUGUACCUGCUGAGCUCCAUCCGUGGCAACUAGCUAAACUCCACCCCGCGUCAAGUCUUCAAGCUUCAUCCAAGCAGUGUGCUUUUUGCUCCAUCCGUGCAAACACCCAGCCGCUGUCAUGCAUGGUGCUGCUCUAUCUCUCCAGCCGUCAGCCAUUCAUUAUUGCUCCACCGUGCUCAACGUCCAGACUUCAGCCUCCUUGCCGCAGUUUUGGAGCUCGCUGGUGCCGUCUGGUCCAGCCAUCUCUGUUCUCCUUGUCUCCAAACACCAUGCUGUCUCAGCAACACUCGACCAUCACGUUGGCCGCGUCCGCCGUCGACCGCUGAGAGCUCCGGCGCGAGCUCUCCUCUGGUGCCAGGUGCAGCUCGUCUUCUGCAG